CCUACGGGAGGCAGCAGUGGGGAAUAUUGCGCAAUGGAGGCAACUCUGACGCAGCCAUGCCGCGUGCAGGAAGAAGGCGCUACGCGUUGUAAACUGCUUUUAACCGGGAAGAAACCCCAGGACGUGUCCUGGGUUGACGGUACCGGAGGAAUAAGCACCGGCUAACUUCGUGCCAGCAGCCGCGGUAAUACGAAGGGUGCAAGCGUUAUCCGGAUUCAUUGGGUUUAAAGGGUGCGUAGGCGGAGCGUUAAGUCAGUGGUGAAAUCCUGCAGCUUAACUGUAGACUUGCCAUUGAUACUGGCGCUCUUGAGUGCGCUUGAAGUAGGCGGAAUGUGCCGUGUAGCGGUGAAAUGCUUAGAUAUGGCACAGAACACCAAUUGCGAAGGCAGCUUACUAAGGCGAUACUGACGCUGAGGCACGAAAGCGUGGGGAGCGAACAGGAUUAGAUACCCCAGUAGUC
rnacentral:rRNA from 1 species